UAUUUAGUAUUUCAAUAGUAAAUGUGUUUAGUUGUGUAUUUAGAAAUAUGGUUUUUUUCAAAAUGUAGAAAGAUAAAAUGUUUGUUUUAUUUAAGAUAUUCAUACACACGCCCAGGACUAGUUUUCACAGAUUGAAUAAAGGCAUACUUGUUGCUCCUGGUACAUCAACCUCGAUCACCAUGAAUACACACGAAUAUAGCUUUCUGCCACACCCCCACAUGAUAGCCGAAGAUGAAUAUUGUAUAGACACGAAUGAAGAUUACGAUAGAUUGUCAUGUCGUGUAUUGUGGAUAUUAGAUAGAAUAGAAGAAAUAUGUAAUUGCACUUAUGGCAACGUUUCAGCUACUAACGUUGGACUCUGUGAUGCCCAAGAAAUGGUUACAUGUUUUAACCCACAGUUUGGAAAAUAUUUCACUGUGUCUGAGAAUGCAAGUCUUACAAAGUGUCUACGACCCUGCAGAUUUGUCAUUUACGACACUAAAACCAGUUUUUCUUACUUUCCGUCGGACUCCUUGUCACGCUAUUUGGUCAAAAAAGGGAUAAUAGAUUCUGUCGACUAUGCAAGGCGAAACCUAUUAGAAUUGUAUAUAAACUUUGAGAACUUGGUUGUAUGGAAAACAGAAAGUAUCGCUGAAUAUAAUACAAUGUCAAUUUUAGGUAAUCUUGGAGGACAUAUGGGUUUAUUUGUGGGAGCAAGUAUGAUUACGGUUGUUGAACUACUGGAAACAUUGGUUUUCUUCUUUAUUGCCUUUGCUGCCCGAAUGGGUCGUCCAAGGGCCGUUGAACCAGCAGUACUUGAUACAACGAGUAUGGACAAAAAAGACGAAAAUCUUUCAUAAAUUACAUAAUUAUAAUACACGAGAUGUGUCCCUAUUAAUUAAUAUUUAUGUUUGAAAUGAAAUGGCAUAUCACUCAACAAGUUUCAGCAAAGCAAGUGUGUUUCAAAUGUUUUCUAUCCUUUUAUAGUUUUAUAUUCACGUUCAUCUUUUGCAUGUUCAUGGAAACUGAUUUAACGAUUAAGAUUAUUACAUUUAAAUAUUGUAUAUGAAUAAUAAUAAUAAUAAUAAUAAUAAUAACUUUAUUUAAUGAGGCAACUUAUUUAGUUUGCAAAAAAACUAAUCUUU